UUUCAUUUCAUCAUUUCACUGUUUAUCGUCAUAUUUUGGAUUCAUUUGGAUUUCGUUUGCUGUAUUUUGUGAACUUUAUAAACUUUACCACACUGCAAAGUGAUUAUUUAAGGAAAUUAUUAUUGGAGACACCAGAUGUUUGGAGAAAGAUAUUUAUUGAAGCUGAAAAUAAUUGGGGAUUUAGAUCCAUAUACAAUUCAGUCAAAAUUGGAUUUUACCAUAAAGUGCAUUCCACCAAAUUACUAUUAUAGAUAUUAUAGAUGAAAGCAUACAAAAGCCUUCAGGCACAUAAAUAUUUUACAGCUGGAUUUGUUUUUAAAGUUGGAGUAAAGUUGGAAGUCACAAGCAACAACUUCGUAAGUACCUACCUACAAGAAUAUUGAGGAAAUCCAGCUCCUGGAUACUACUGGGCAAACUAGAAGAUUGAAGAGGACAAAGCCUUUUGAACUAGUUUGAGUGAUAGUGAAAAGCAGAGCAUAAUGCUUGUGUGCAUGUGUAUGUUAGAAUAGUGCGGUUAGAAAAGCAGAGCAUAGUGCUUGUGUGCCUGUUAGAUUAGAGAAGAGACGCUAUGGGUAAGCUCUUCAUUUUAAGGAACAGUAGUAAUUUAGGUUAAAUUAAAAUUGCUCAUUGGUCAGACUUAUGACCAGAUUGUAAUUCUAAUGAACAAUUCAAUACAAUGAAUCGUCAUCGUAGUGAUGAUUAUGGAAAAAAAUAUAUGACAAGAUUUUGUGCAAUAAAAAUGUUUAUAUUUA